rnacentral:rRNA from 1 species
UUUAAAGAGAGUUUGAUCCUGGCUCAGGACGAACGCUGGCGGCGUGCCUAAUACAUGCAAGUCGAACGAACGGAGGAAGAGCUUGCUCUUCCAAAGUUAGUGGCGGACGGGUGAGUAACACGUGGGCAACCUGCCUGUAAGUUGGGGAUAACUCCGGGAAACCGGGGCUAAUACCGAAUGAUAGAAUGUGGCGCAUGCCACGCUUUUGAAAGAUGGUUUCGGCUAUCGCUUACAGAUGGGCCCGCGGUGCAUUAGCUAGUUGGUAGGGUAAUGGCCUACCAAGGCAACGAUGCAUAGCCGACCUGAGAGGGUGAUCGGCCACACUGGGACUGAGACACGGCCCAGACUCCUACGGGAGGCAGCAGUAGGGAAUCUUCCGCAAUGGACGAAAGUCUGACGGAGCAACGCCGCGUGUAUGAAGAAGGUUUUCGGAUCGUAAAGUACUGUUGUUAGAGAAGAACAAGGAUAAGAGUAACUGCUUGUCCCUUGACGGUAUCUAACCAGAAAGCCACGGCUAACUACGUGCCAGCAGCCGCGGUAAUACGUAGGUGGCAAGCGUUGUCCGGAUUUAUUGGGCGUAAAGCGCGCGCAGGCGGUCUUUUAAGUCUGAUGUGAAAGCCCCCGGCUUAACCGGGGAGGGUCAUUGGAAACUGGAAGACUGGAGUGCAGAAGAGGAGAGUGGAAUUCCACGUGUAGCGGUGAAAUGCGUAGAUAUGUGGAG